rnacentral:rRNA from 1 species
UAGGGAAUCUUCGGCAAUGGACGAAAGUCUGACCGAGCAACGCCGCGUGAGUGAAGAAGGUUUUCGGAUCGUAAAACUCUGUUGUUAGAGAAGAACAAGGACGUUAGUAACUGAACGUCCCCUGACGGUAUCUAACCAGAAAGCCACGGCUAACUACGUGCCAGCAGCCGCGGUAAUACGUAGGUGGCAAGCGUUGUCCGGAUUGAUUGGGCGUAAAGCGAGCGCAGGCGGUUUCUUAAGUCUGAUGUGAAAGCCCCCGGCUCAACCGGGGAGGGUCAUUGGAAACUGGGAGACUUGAGUGCAGAAGAGGAGAGUGGAAUUCCAGGUGUAGCGGUGAAAUGCGUAGAUAUAUGGAGGAACACCAGUGGCGAAGGCGGCUCUCUGGUCUGUAACUGACGCUGAGGCUCGAAAGCGUGGGGAGCAAACAGG